AACUCGUGGUGAGAGCAUGAACGGAACAUCUCCUUGAACCGCUCCCAAGGUUCUGCAAGUGUCUCAUCACUCGCUUGCUCAAAUGAGGAGAUCUUCCUCCGUAUGU